AACGAACGCUGGCGGCAUGCCUAACACAUGCAAGUCGAACGAGACCUUCGGGACUAGUGGCGCACGGGUGCGUAACGCGUGGGAACCUGCCCUUAGGGUCGGCAUAACUCCCCGAAAGGGGUGCUAAUACCGGAUAAUGUCUUCGGACCAAAGAUUUAUCGACUUUGGAGGUACCCGAGUUGAAUUAGCUAGUUGUUAGGGUAAAAGCCUACCAAGGCGACAAUCCAUAGCUGGUCUGAGAGGAGGAUCAGCCACACUGGGACUGAGACACGGCCCAGAAUCUUCCGCGAGGCAGCAGUGGGGAAUAGUGGACCAUCGGCGGAGGGAUGAUGCAGCAAUGCCGCGUGAGUUAUGAAGGUCUUAGGGUAGUAAAGCUCUUUUAACCGGGAUGAUAAUGACAGUACCGGGAGAAUAAGCUCCGGCUAACUACGUG
rnacentral:rRNA from 1 species